GAUGAAGAACGUAGCGAAAUGCGAUACUUGGUGUGAAUUGCAGAAUCCCGUGAACCAUCGAGUCUUUGAACGCAAGUUGCGCCUCAAGCCAUUAGGUUGAGGGCACGUCUGCCUGGGCGUCACAUAUCGUUGCCUGAUGCCAGUUUCCUCGUGAUGGGUGACUGUGCAGGGCGAAUGAUGGCUUCCCGUGAGCAUUGUUGCCUCAUGGUUGGUUGAAAAUUGAGUCCUUGGUAGGGAGCGCCGUGAUAGAUGGUGGGUGAGUGACGAACGAGACCCAAUCAUGUGAGACCCCUACCGAAUUUGGCCUUCAUGACCCACAUGCGUCUUUGGAACGCUCAUGACGAGACCUCAGGUCAGGCGGGGCUACCCGCUGAGUUUAAGCAUAUCAAAAGCGGAGGA
rnacentral:misc_RNA from 1 species